GUGAACGCUAGCGGUGCGCCUCAAACAUGCAAGUCGAGUGGGUUUAGACCCACGGCGAACGGCUGAAUAUCACGUGGGUAUCUCCCCCGAACUCAGGGAUAUCCCGCCGAAAGGCGGAGUAAUACCGGAUAGUCCCCGCACUCUUCGCAAGAAAAGUGCAGGGUAAAGAUUUUUCGGUUCGGGAAGAGCCUGCGGCCUAUCAGCUUGUUGGUAAGGUAACGGCUUACCAAGGCUAUGACGGGUAGCUGGAUUGAGAGAUCGACCAGCCAGAAUGGGACUGAGACACGGCCCAUACUCCUACGGGAGGCAGCAGUUAGGAAUUUUCCGCAAUGGGCGCAAGCCUGACGGAGCGACACCGCGUGGAGGACGAAACCUUUUUUAGGCGUAAACUCCUGUUCUGAGGGACGAAAUUUUGACGGUACCUCAGGAGAAAGCAUCGGCUAACUACGU
rnacentral:rRNA from 1 species